AUGGUUGUUGGCAAACUGGGUUUUUCUGGGUGAGGCUCAUCCUUUGCACACCAGCUGUGCUGAUUCCUGCAAUUUCCGCAAAUACAGUAAACUUAACUGCAUAAUUUGUGGUAAUGGGGGAACGUGUUCAGACUUUGCCCUG
ensembl:snRNA U1 U1 spliceosomal RNA